CUUCUAGAAAAAUGACCAAUGGUGUCCUUGUCCAUGUUCGGCCGAAUGGGAGGUGAAUGGGCAGCUUCAUGUAUGAGCAAGCUUUGGAAGCCAAUGGGAUUGUCUAGGUUCGGCCAUGGGAUGCAUGAAACUCCCAAAGGGUGUCUCUUGGCCGAAUAGGUGCUUAGGAAACUCUAAGGGUCCUCCCACAUGCAUCGGUUGUACAUGGAACUUGGAAGGGGCCUUGAACCUAGCCGUACAUGCACUUGCAUUGAUUACCCCCAUUCAUGCAUGUGUGCCGUCCAAGGGAGAUGCACCUUUCAAUAUGCAUUAACCUUCCAUGUACAUGAAUGUAUG
rnacentral:lncRNA from 1 species